rnacentral:rRNA from 1 species
GAUGAACGCUGGCGGCGUGCUUAACACAUGCAAGUCGAGCGAAGCGAUUUUAAGGAAGUUUUCGGAUGGAAUUAAAAUUGACUUAGCGGCGGACGGGUGAGUAACGCGUGGGUAACCUGCCUCAUACAGGGGGAUAACAGUUAGAAAUGACUGCUAAUACCGCAUAAGCGCACAGUGCUGCAUAGCACAGUGUGAAAAACUCCGGUGGUAUGAGAUGGACCCGCGUCUGAUUAGGUAGUUGGUGAGGUAAUGGCUCACCAAGCCGACGAUCAGUAGCCGACCUGAGAGGGUGACCGGCCACAUUGGGACUGAGACACGGCCCAAACUCCUACGGGAGGCAGCAGUGGGGAAUAUUGGACAAUGGGGGAAACCCUGAUCCAGCGACGCCGCGUGAGUGAAGAAGUGUUUCGGCAUGUAAAGCUCUAUCAGCAGGGAAGAAAAUGACGGUACCUGACUAAGAAGCCCCGGCUAACUACGUGCCAGCCGCCGCCGUAA